rnacentral:sRNA from 1 species
CUGAUAAGCGCGGCGACACUUACAAUACAGACACACAAGCAUAUGUACAUCCCAUGCCCACACUCUCAGCUAGAGAAUAGUAUAUAAGCAAUGCUCUGGUCAGGCAGGCAUAUACGGACGGACGGACGAGGCAUUGAGUACUACUUUCAGUUUGAGGCUGUUGUUAAGGCUGAAUCACAACUUUUCUCGAAAAGAUCAGCGAUAACUGUUAAUCUUCCAAGGCCCAUUAGGUGAUAUACCUUUUAUACAUGUACAUAAGCAUGUGAAUGUAAAUGGAAAAUUGCAGGCUGGAAUGUUUAGCUAAAAGCGAAUCGCGAAAACACUACUCUAUGGAGCUUCUUCCAGAAGAUGUUUGGAAUUAGGUCUCUGAACUUGCACAACAGGAGAAAUCUGGACGAUGGAUGGAUGGAUGGAUGGAUGCACUAACGGUACAACAUCAACUGAUGCUGCAACAACAACUAAUACUAUUAUUCCCUCUAUCUCUAUGUACGGUACAAUUUUUUAUGCGCUUGUUCUUAUUUUUCUUCGUUUUUUUUUUUUGCACUUAAUGACGUGUAACGAGCUCGCGCGCGUGUUUUGCAGUUGUCUUUGUGUGCGCGCUCUUUCUCUCUCUCCCUCUCUCUCUCUUGAUCCCCCUCUUUCUCUCUGCCCCUCCCUACCUUUCUUUGGUGAGCGAGCAGCAUACAUACAUAUACAUAUGUACUAGCGAUUGGCGGACUAUGCGCGUGCGAGCGAGAUGCCACACUUUGAAAAUAAACAGGUAAAAAGAAUAGGGUGUAAUGAUUCUGGACAGAAGCUUGAACCGGCAAGAAGGAAGUGUCUCCAUCUGUCCCUCAAUAUUCCACCAUUUUUAAAGAUGAUGUCUCAAGGAGUUCUCCACAGAAUAGUUAUAAAUGUAGCCACACAACUGUAACCCACAUCUGCCACGGAACUAAUCGACCCGCUAGGGUAUCUCUGCGUCGGUCCCCCGAGGCUAGCAUUUCUCUCUUCUUUUUUUUUUUGCUGGUGCUGCUCUUGCUGCUCUGCCCGCCUUUUAGUCAGAGGGGGACGGGGGGACUGCAGCUUUUUCUGUAUUAUUUGAGUGAAAUGAUCGUCAGCAAACAGACCAAGUGGCUCGGCAGUUUCUGUUGUUGUUGUUGUUGGUCAAUAAUUAUCAAGCAUACAUAAAUAAUUAGUCAGCAAGAGCUGACCAUGAAAAUCAGCAGAAAAAAAAACGAGGGAGAAAUCAAUGUAAGGAAAAGUGUUUACAGCAGCGUUUUAGUUUACUUUAGUACAUAAGGCAAAAAGUAUAUGGUACGAGUCAAUAAUGAACUUCUCUAACUCGAAGGUACAUACAUAUAUUUUGCCAGCUUGAUUAUUGCCAUUUACAGCAUAGAAUACAUACAAUGUUUGACGAAAAAUCAUCUGGCCUUCAAGCUAUAGCAAGCAAGUUAUCCAUUUAGGUGUAUUCCUGUUCUCUACAGUUAGAUGAGGGGCUAAUGGAGGGGAAGGGACCUCAAGAAGGAAGCAACUUUCUGGCAUUCAACUCUUUUUCUUCUUCUUCUAAGCAACCCCUGUUCGAAUUCGAGGAUAAGCCAGCCGCAUAAGACAAAAUUUCGAACAACAAUCGAAAUGAGCGACGGAGAGGGGCAGCGCAGCAGCAACGACAGCGGCAUCGGCAGCGGCAGCAAGUCAUUUAAACGGUCAAUUGCCUCAGGCACAAAAGCAAAUGUCCGAAUGAGAGAGAGAGAGAGCUACAACAGCAGUCACAAAAACAAAAAACUAAACGAAAAGAAGAGGCGGCACGGCACUGCAAGCGACGGGGAGGAAGAGGGACAACAGCUGACAGCUGAAAAGUGCAGGCCAAAUGCCGAAAAAAUUAAGCAAAUGUUUUUCAUAUUUCAUUUCUCACCUAAAAAGAAAUGUUGCCAUAACCAUAAAUACACAUGUGCGUGCAUACCUACAUACCAUAUGUGCAUAUGUAUGUAUGUAUGUACAGCAUGUACAUAUAAAUUAU